rnacentral:rRNA from 1 species
AGAGUUUGAUCCUGGCUCAGGACGAACGCUGGCGGCGUGCCUAACACAUGCAAGUCGAGCGGAGACAGUGAGUAGCUUGCUAUGAGCUGUUUUAGCGGCGGACGGGUGAGUAACGCGUGAGCAACCUUUCCCAGACAGGGGAAUAACACACCGAAAGGUGUACUAAUACCGCAUAAGACCACGGGAUCACAUGGUUCUGAGGUAAAAGAUUUAUCGGUUUGGGGUGGGCUCGCGUCCGAUUAGGUAGUUGGUGAGGUAACGGCCCACCAAGCCGACGAUCGGUAGCCGACCUGAGAGGGUGAUCGGCCACAUUGGGACUGAGACACGGCCCAAACUCCUACGGGAGGCAGCAGUGGGGAAUAUUGCACAAUGGGGGAAACCCUGAUGCAGCGACGCCGCGUGAGCGAAGAAGUAUUUCGGUAUGUAAAGCUCUAUCAGCAGGGAAGAAAAUGACGGUACCUGACUAAGAAGCCCCGGCUAACUACGUGCCAGCAGCCGCGGUAAUACGUAGGGGGCAAGCGUUGUCCGGAAUAAUUGGGCGUAAAGGGCGCGUAGGCGGCUCGGUAAGUCUGGAGUGAAAGUCCUGCUUUUAAGGUGGGAAUUGCUUUGGAUACUGUCGGGCUUGAGUGCAGGAGAGGUUAGUGGAAUUCCCAGUGUAGCGGUGAAAUGCGUAGAGAUUGGGAGGAACACCAGUGGCGAAGGCGACUAACUGGACUGUAACUGACGCUGAGGCGCGAAAGUGUGGGGAGCAAACAGGAUUAGAUACCCUGGUAGUCCACACUGUAAACGAUGAAUGCUAGGUGUAGGGGGUAUCGACCCCUUCUGUGCCGCAGUCAACACAAUAAGCAUUCCGCCUGGGGAGUACGGCCGCAAGGUUGAAACUCAAAGGAAUUGACGGGGGCCCGCACAAGCAGCGGAGCAUGUGGUUUAAUUCGACGCAACGCGAAGAACCUUACCAGGUCUUGACAUCCACUUAAACUUACAGAGAUGUAAGGUGUGCUUGCACAAAGUGAGACAGGUGGUGCAUGGUUGUCGUCAGCUCGUGUCGUGAGAUGUUGGGUUAAGUC